UACCCGCUGAACUUAAGCAUAUCAAUAAGCGGAGGAAAAGAAACCACCGGGAUUGCCUCAGUAACGGCGAGUGAAGCGGCAAAAGCUCAAAUUUGAAAUCUGGCACUUUCAGUGUCCGAGUUGUAAUUUGUAGAAGUAGUUUUGGGACUGGUCCUUAUCUAUGUUUCUUGGAACAGGACGUCAUAGAGGGUGAGAACCCCGUAUGAUGAGGCCCCCAGUCCUUUGUAAAACGCUUUCGAAGAGUCGAGUUGUUUGGGAAUGCAGCUCUAAGUGGGUGGUAAAUUCCAUCUAAAGCUAAAUAUUGGCGAGAGACCGAUAGCGAACAAGUACAGUGAUGGAAAGAUGAAAAGAACUUUGAAAAGAGAGUGAAAAAGUACGUGAAAUUGUUGAAAGGGAAGGGCAUUUGAUCAGACAUGGUGUUUUGCGCCCUUUGCUCCUUGUGGGCGGAGGAUACGCAGCUCACUGGGCCAACAUCAGUUUUGGGAGCAGGAUAAAUCUGUAGGAACGUAGCUUUCUUCGGGAAGUGUUAUAGCCUAUGGGAAUACUGCUACCUGGGACUGAGGACUGCGUCUUUUGAC
rnacentral:rRNA from 1 species